UGUUCACCGUCUUACUGCUCCCAUGGACUUCAUUGUCCAUCUAGCCCUCAGAGAACAGACCCCUCCUGGUUUCCACCUGGUUUCACAAGAUUCAAUAAAACUCUUAAAUUG